AUUUAUCGUCACUCGAUUUAGGUGGCAUGAGUUACUAUUGCUCGAUUUAGGCAAUAGUAACGACAAGUUUAUCGUCACCCGAUUUAGGUGGCAUGAGUUGCUAUCGCUCGAUUUAGGUGAUAGCAACGACUAGUUUAUCGUCACCCGAUUUGGGUGGCAUGAGUUACUAUCGCUCGAUUUAGGUGAUAGUAACGACAAGUUUAUCGUCACUCGAUUUAGGUGGCAUGAGUUACUAUUGCUCGAUUUAGGCAAUAGUAACGACAAGUUUAUCUAGUUUAUCGUCACUCGAUUUAGGUGAUAGUUUUGCUGACUAAGACACUUGAUUUCUUAUCCAACCAUGCUGUAGAGAAUUAAAGAAAAUUUCGUAUUGUAGCUGUAGCAGUAUGAUGUCAACAACGAACUUGUUGUUUGGCACUAGCGUUGUACUUUGUUACAUAAUGAACUCUUUCCAUCCAUCAGCCUGUAUGCGUCCGCUGCUGGACGUGGGCCUUUCCAGGAGCGCGCCGCCGGGCGCGGUCCUCCGCCUUCCUCGUCUGCCCGCUCCCCGCCGCCUUCUUCGGGUCGUCGGUCCGGCGGGCGGGAGGUCGUCUCGCACUGCGCUUGCCGAUGCGCGGUCUCCGCUCCAGAACGCGUCUGCCCCAUCGGCCGUCGGUUCUGCGACGGACAUGGCCGCCCAUUGCCGCUUCAGCUUGCUGAUCCUUUGAGCUGUGUCGGUCGCUUUUGUUCUUCUGCGAAUUUCCUCGUUCCGGAUUUUGUCCCUGAGAGUGAUACCCAACAUAGCUCGCUGAGCGACCUUUGUUUUGUGGACGAGGCCAACUGUUGUUGUUCAAUAAUGAACUCUUUCACUAAAAGUUAAUCAGGAAAAGCCGAGCCUUUGAUUGUAGCAAGUUGUCUCUUUUACACGAGCAUCACACAGGGACGUGUGACGUGUCAGUUCUGGCCGUAUCAGAGACCAACAUUAAAGUGGCCAUUAUUUAAAGCACCAUCUGUUAUGAAAUGGUUGUACUACUGAAUUGUAGAGCAACAUCUAUUUGCGAACUCAGGUUAUCAUUCCACGGUUCGUUCAGCGUGGUACUAAGGACGACAGUCACAGUUAACCACAUAUCCUUAACAACAAC